CUCAACCCCGGAACUGCCUCCGAUACUGGGUGCCUUGAGGACGGGAGAGGUGAGCGGAAUUCCGAGUGUAGAGGUGAAAUUCGUAGAUAUUCGGAGGAACACCGGUGGCGAAGGCGGCUCACUGGCCCGAUCCUGACGCUGAGGCGCGAAAGCGUGGGGAGCAAACAGGAUAGAUACCCUGGUAGUCCACGCUGUAAACGAUGGGUGCUAGAUGUUGGGGCUUCACAGCUUCAGUGUCGCAGCUAACGCAUUAAGCACCCCGCCUGGGGACUACGGCCGCAAGGCUAAAACUCAAAGGAAUUGACGGGGGCCCGCACAAGCGGUGGAGCAUGUGGUUUAAUUCGAGGCAACGCGAAGAACCUUACCAGCCCUUGACAUCCCGGUCGCGAGGAUCAGAGAUGAACCUCUUCAGUUCGGCUGGACC
rnacentral:rRNA from 1 species